rnacentral:rRNA from 1 species
GGAUAGGGGAGAAAUUCCAAUCGAACCCGGAGAUAGCUGGUUCUCCUCGAAAUAGUUUUAGGACUAGCCUCGUUAUUAGUCUACCGGAGGUAGAGCACUGAAUUUUUGCGGGGGCGUCAAAGCCUACCAAGAGAUAUCAAACUCCGAAUGCCGGCUAGAUGAUUGACGGGAGUCAGACUACACGAGAUAAGUUGGGUAGUCAAAAGGGAAAGAGCCCAGACCUACGGCUAAGGUCCCAAAGUGUGUGUUAAGUGGAAAAGGAUGUGGGAUUUCGAAGACAGCUAGGAUGUUGGCUUAGAAGCAGCCAUACAUUAAAAGAGUGCGUAACAGCUCACUAGUCGAGAGGUCCUGCGCCGAAAAUGUCCGGGGCUAAACACAACACCGAAGCCUGGGAAUGUAGUAAUACAUUGGUAGAGGAGCAUUCUUAGAGGCGUAGAAGCCAUACCGGAAGGAAUGGUGGAGUAAUAAGAAGAGAGAAUGCCGGAAUGAGUAGCGAGAAAGAGGUGAGAAUCCUCUUGGCCGAAUAUCUAAGGUUUCCUGAGUAAAGCUGAUCUACUCAGGGUAAGUCGGGGCCUAAGGCAAGGUCGAAAGACGUAGUCGAUGGAUAACAGGUACAGAUUCCUGUACUACAUAUAAUCAGAACUGUGGGGACACGGAGACUAAAACCGAACCCGGGAGGACAAAAACCGGGGCAAGCGAAGUACCUGUAUGGGAGGAAAAACCACCAUGCAAAGGGAAAGCGUGAUGCGUACCGAAAAUUAGUAGGGAAGUCGGUUAGGGAGCCGUCAAGAAAAGCCGCUAUUGUGUUAUAUGUACCCGUACCGCAAACCGACACAGGUAGAUGAGGAGAGAAUCCUAAGGCCGGCGGGAGAAGCAUUGUUAAGGAACUCGGCAAAAUGACCCCGUAACUUCGGGAGAAGGGGUGCCACUGGAAACAGUGGUCGCAGAAAAAAGGCUCAAGCAACUGUUUAGCAAAAACACAGGUCUAUGCGAAACCGCAAGGUGAAGUAUAUGGGCUGACGCCUGCCCGGUGCCGGAAGGUUAAGAGGAGAAGUCAGGAAACGAAGCUUUGAAUUGAAGCCCCGGUAAACGGCGGCCGUAACUAUAACGGUCCUAAGGUAGCGAAAUUCCUUGUCGGGUAAGUUCCGACCCGCACGAAAGGCGUAAUGAUUUGAGCGCUGUCUCAACAAUGCACCCGGUGAAAUUGAAGUACCAGUGAAGAUGCUGGUUACCUGCGCCAGGACGGAAAGACCCCAUGGAGCUUUACUCCAGUUUGGUACUGGGAUUCGGUAAUACUCGUACAGGAUAGGUGGGAGACUUAGAAGCAUGGACGCCAGUUUAUGCAGAGUCGCCGUUGGGAUACCACCCCUGUAUUGCUGGAUUUCUAACCUGCGGCCGUUAUCCGGCCGGGGGACAAUGCCAGACGGGGAGUUUGACUGGGGCGGUCGCCUCCGAAAGAGUAUCGGAGGCGCUCGAAGGUUCCCUCAGAAUGGUCGGAAACCAUUCAAAGAGUGCAAAGGCAGAAGGGAGCUUGACUGCGACACCGACGGGUGGAGCAGGUACGAAAG